UUAAAAUUAUUUUUAAGAGCGGAAAUUAUUUAUUGUCAUAGAUUACACAUACAUAACAUUUCACAUGAAAUUUAUGUGUUUAUCUAUUGAAGUAUUGAAUAUGAUAAAAUCACCAAAAUUAUGGUAGUAUUUAUAUUCAAUCCACAUGAAAGGUUGCAUCAGUGUUAUCUAAUGGUUAUAGUAAAAAUGAUUACAGGCUUAGGUUAAUAAAAAUAAUUAUAGGCUUAAGUUUAGAGAAGACACA
rnacentral:lncRNA from 1 species